GACGAACGCUGGCGGCGUGCUUAACACAUGCCAGUCGAACGGAAAGGCCCUGCUUUUGUGGGGUGCUCGAGUGGCGAACGGGUGAGUAACACGUGAGUAACCUGCCCUUGACUUUGGGAUAACUUCAGGAAACUGGGGCUAAUACCGGAUAGGAGCUCCUGCUGCAUGGUGGGGGUUGGAAAGUUUCGGCGGUUGGGGAUGGACUCGCGGCUUAUCAGCUUGUUGGUGGGGUAGUGGCUUACCAAGGCUUUGACGGGUAGCCGGCCUGAGAGGGUGACCGGCCACAUUGGGACUGAGAUACGGCCCAGACUCCUACGGGAGGCAGCAGUGGGGAAUAUUGCACAAUGGGCGGAAGCCUGAUGCAGCAACGCCGCGUGGGGGAUGACGGCCUUCGGGUUGUAAACCGCUUUCGCCUGUGACGAAGCGUGAGUGACGGUAAUGGGUAAAGAAGCACCGGCUAACUACGUG
rnacentral:rRNA from 1 species